AUGGUCUGUUCAUGGCCAGUGUGGAUAACAUUGUCACUCACGGGUGGUGGAGAACCGGAGAAGGAAAUGCAGUGUCUUGCCAUCCUGCAAAAGUUGCGACUUUGUAGACAUCCUUGUCAUGAAGGUUUGUCUGAUGUGGGGUGGUCUUGUCAUCUCAAUCUGCAAGGACAUGUGAACAAAGAUAAUAGACAGGUCGAAAAUCUGGCAUGUUUUUCGUGCUCCAUUCUUGACGGUGAGUCGGUGACAAGGAGGGAGCAGACAUCUCCACGACACUCGAGAGCCUGCAGAGAGAAUGCAAUGCCAUGGCCAGCACAAAAGGCAGGCGAUGAAGAAAAAGUAUAUAAUAAAUAUUCUUUAGUGCCAUGGGCAACAGCAUGCUUAUGA
rnacentral:rRNA from 1 species